GAUGAAGAACGUAGCGAAAUGCGAUAAGUAAUGUGAAUUGCAGAAUUCAGUGAAUCAUCGAAUCUUUGAACGCACAUUGCGCCCCUUGGUAUUCCGAGGGGCAUGCCUGUUCGAGCGUCAUUUCAACCCUCAAGCACAGCUUGGUCUUGGGCUUCGCCGCUAACCCGGCGGGUCUUAAAAUCAGUGGCGGUGCCGUCGGGCCCUGAGCGCAGUAAUCUCUCCCGCUAUAGGGUCCCGGCGGAUGCUGGCCAGUAACCCCCAAUUUUCUAUGGUUGACCUCGGAUCAGGUAGGGAUACCCGCUGAACUUAAGCAUAUCAAUAAGCGGAGGA
rnacentral:misc_RNA from 1 species